AAAAUACCUAAUGUGGUGGUUGAGUUGAUAUUAGUAGGUUACCAUGGCAACAUAUUUCUGGCACCUGCUGCUAUCAACUGAUUCACCCAUUACAUAUCAU